CAGCCCGUGCGUUUCACACAUCGAUCAAGACGUCUUGUCUUUGUGGCGUACCGCAGGGUGUGCUUCUAAGUCCUGUGCAUUGUCAUUCGCUUGGAGGUUGUUGGGGGGUUUUUUUGGGUUUUUUUGCGCUGUCUUUUACUGGUUUUGCGUUCUACUGCCUUUGUUAUUCAUUCAUUUUUUUACUGUUUGUUGAAUUAAUUAUUCCUCCCCCCCCCCCCCCCCCAUGUACAGCAUUUGGGAUACAGCGAUGUUUGGUUUAAAGUGCUGUAGGAAUGCAGUUGAGUUGAGUAAAAGUAAUAGGAAGGGAAUACAACGUACUUUUCAGAAGGCCAGCUCCUAUCUAAUUUGAUUGUGUCACGUUCAAAUUUUUUGAAAUUUUGAGUUUUAAGCUUUUCUUGAGCUAAGAUCCAUGAUGAUCAAACUGAUAAUACACACUUUUUUACUGUGUGUGUGUGUAGUGAAUCAGUUGCACGUUUUAAAUUGAACCUACUGAAAUAAUUUUCUACAAUAUUCCAAUCUAUUGAGUUGCACCUGUCGAUCCUGACAAGAACCCUUUUCGAAUUAUUUGAAGUGGUACCCGACACAAAAUGCGGCACUGUCAUCCGACACGGUUUUCUAGGCCACACACACAUGCAUGCAAGAGUAUGAGUAUUGUUAUGCAGGAAGUGCAGCACAUUUACAUUCCGACUGUGACGAGCUGACAGCGGUUAGUUUUGGGCUCUCUGAUCUGCUCUCGCCUGAUGUGUGUGUGUGUGUGUGUGUGUGUGUGUAUCGGGCUACGACAAAGGCAGCCAAAAUGAGGAAGGAGAGGGUUGAGAAGGUUUAUGGGAUGGCAGUCCGAGUAAAGAUAAGAGAGGGAGGGAAAGAGAGGGUUGAGGGAGUGAGGAAGAAAAGCUAAUGAGCCCAGGUAUGAAAUAGGACACACACACACACACACACACACACAAACGCACAAUUAUGCUGCAGUUGAGUGCAUCUGGAAAGCGAGGUCAUUAAUCAUUCUGCAUAACGUGUAUCUCCCGCACAGCGAGAGAAAGGUGAGAGGUCCUCCGAGCAUAAAUAUAAAAAGUCAUAAGAAUUAAAGCAGCUGCGAGUAAACAGUCUGAAGGAAACCAAAGUGUCAGCAGGGGAGCUAUUGCAUGAAUGGAAUGGCUGGAAUGAUCUUGAAACGGCUGCUUCUUGCCAAAGUGCUGUGGCUUCUUGUGGUUUUUUUGGGGAGUGGGGGGGGUGGCUUUUGAGACUUUUGUGUGGGUCUAUUUGUGAUAGACGUGGCAACCAAAUCCCACGUUGCUCAGUGAAAGUGUUUUUUAAUAUAAACGUGUCGAACAAGAUUGUCAUUGGAGGACCCCUCUAUGUCAACCGAAAUUGGUUGCUUCAACCCCAAAUACCAGACCCCCCCUGACUUUUCAGGCAUGGCUUUUUUUUUUUUUUUUGGUGGCUCUUCUCGUGAUCAACCUGCCUACCAAAUUUCACGUUACGAGGUGAAACAGCCCCCGGGGUGAGAUUUUAGGCAGUGUACCCUCCCCCCCCCAAAAAAAAACCCCGUUCACCAGGUUGAACACAGCUGCAAAUCUUUGAGGCUAAGAAAGCCCUCAAAAUUGAGAUUUAUACGACCUAAGAUCGAGUGCCUGCACACCGCUUGCUCGGUGAAUAAUGCCCAUAAGAGCUUGUAAAAUGGUGUUUUAAAGCACUGCUGAUGGAGCUGGAUCUGUGCGCAGAUUACAAGCUGCAGGGGGGGGGGGGGGGGAAUCUUCCACUCUUGUCCUUGAAAACCCCAAAAGAUCUUUUUUUUUGGCCCCCUCCUGCUGAGCUGCAAUGCACACAAAAGGGGAAAAAAUCAGAUUAGAGAAAUUAAAAAAAUGGGGAACACGGUGGCAAAAUUCUGUUGCGGAAGAUUAGAAACUGUCACAAUGGUGAACAAAAAAAAAGAAAA